rnacentral:lncRNA from 1 species
GUUUCUUAACGCAAAUGGAAAAAGAGCACAGGAAGUAAUCAAGAAUGAUGAAUGUUCUGUCUGUGUCAGUGAUAGCCAAGGCAAGAAAAAUCCAAAAGCAGUUUACAAGAGAAAAUCAUGAAAAUACAUUUAUUUGGAUCAAGUCCUGA